GUACUUACCUGGCAGGGGAGACACCACAAUCACAAAGGUGGUUUUCCCAGGUCUAGGCUUAUUCGUUGUACUCUGGAAGUGCUGACCCCUUGAUUUCCCCAAAUGUGGGGAACUCUACUGCAUAAUUUGUGGUAGUGGAGGGACUGUGUUCCUGCC
rnacentral:snRNA from 1 species